rnacentral:rRNA from 1 species
CCGACGGUGAGGGACGAAAGCUGGGGAGCAAACCGGAUUAGAUACCCGGGUAGUCCCAGCCGUAAACGAUGUGCGUUAGGUGUAUCGGUGACCACGAGUCACCGAGGUGCCGAAGAGAAAUCGUGAAACGUACCGCCUGGGAAGUACGGUCGCAAGGCUGAAACUUAAAGGAAUUGGCGGGGGAGCACCACAACAGGUGGAGCCUGCGGUUUAAUCGGACUCAACGCCGGAAAACUCACCAGAUAAGACAGCUGAAUGAUAGUCGGGCUGAAGACUCUACUUGACUAGCUGAGAGGAGGUGCAUGGCCGUCGUCAGUUCGUACUGUGAAGCAUCCUGUUAAGUCAGGCAACGAGCGAGACCCACGCCAACAGUUGCUA